GUGGAUGAUCUUGGCUUCUUCGAUGUCUGACCAAGCUCUGAGUGCUCCAUGGUGUCUGCUUCAGCCGCUUUCAUAGACUUUGCAACAAAUUGUCCUUAUCCACCCAUUUCACCAGAAGAAGCCUUCACACACUUGGGUUAGACAGACCCCUAACACUUUGAUGGGUUUAUGGCCUAUCACUUACCCUCAACCUGGUUGAGUCCAUCUGCUGAGAUGGUUUACCAGGGUGUGACUGCUGCACAAGCUUCUUGGAGCCACAGAAACACUAGUGUUAAAUGGUCUAACAGGAAAGGUUGGCUCCCGAGGAAUAUCCCAGGCAACUAAGGGCAGGAAGUCACCAGCAUCUCAUGGUGAAAUUCUCUUGAGAACCUACAUUCUGUAAUCUUGGAUAUUCAAACAGAGCACUGUUAUAAACUUCUACAUCCUAAGAAGGGGCUGAUGUGUGUUGGACUGAUCUGAAGACAUUACAAAAUAGGCAUUUCUUACAUUCUGCUGACCCUAUUGGCAAUAACUCUGCUGGUAAUUUAUAGAAAGUAGAGAUAUUGUAUUAGAAGCUACUCCAAAAGGACAUAUCCGUGAUGCAGUCUCCUUGGGAUUAUUAAAGAAUUUCCAUUUGGGUUCAGCCAAAGGAGUGCUCUUACGGAAUUUCAUAUAUAAGGCAAUCCCACCAGAGAUUAUUUAAAGAAUACCACAGCCCCCACCAAACAGUUGUCGAGGCACUAAGCCCAGUUCUAUAAUAUAACAAUAAUAUAAUAUAAACAAAAGAGACUGUUGGUUCCAUUUAUGAAAUUUAUAACUAUGAACAGUGAGUGAUAAUUCUGGCUGGUGAGAAGUGCAUUUUUUGAUAAUCCUAUACAUUUAUCAUAUGUCUUAAUCUGAUGAGAAAUAGAAGAGGUCUAAAAAAAAAAAAACCUCUUGUUA